ACUUGUUUCGACCCGUUUCUUCUAGGUUUCAUUGAACAGACUAUUAAACAAUAACCGUACGUUGUUAUUCAUUUUAACAACAAAUUUCAAUGUAAAAUCAUAUUAUUUGUGUACCAACUUUAUAAUAUGAUGAUAUCACAAUUUUUAGAGUAACCAUGAAAUGUAUAGUUGAUACAUAAUAUUUCAUAGUUGCCGAAUAGAGGGGAAUCAUCGUAUCACAGUAAUUUUCUUGUGAUUUUCAAUGGAACAGUGAUUUUCAUGGUAAAAUUAAAAUCCAAACGAAAACGAACAUGGUAAACUUUUGCUCUUUUUACUCAUUUAAAAAUUUUCGUGUAAAGAAAAAUUUCAUCCCACGCGCGCCAUUUUGUUGAAUCAUUUUAGUUUUGUGAAUCGCGAUGACUUCAACAAAUAUUUCGUUGUGGAUGUUUAUUAAAUAUCGGGACCGGAGUAGAUUUUUUCCGAGGUCGUACCCCUUGGUGAAAUGGGGAUCGAUUCGGAAAGCGAUGGCACUGCCCGCAUACGAAAAAACUCUACCUCAAACAAUCAAAACGAUAAUCGAACCUCUUCCUGCAACUGUGACUGUUUAUAUAAGUAUAGCUAUUGAGUAAAACUAUCCAAAUCGAAUAGCUCAAUUACAAAUAAAACGAUUUAAACCAAUCCUCCACGUUUAUGUGAAAGGUCACGCUAUAGAUUAGAUCAUCUUAACGGUUUGAACUAUUCACGAACUUUUUUUAUUAACCGUUAAAAUCAUCUCGAACGAUUACUUCUAACGUCCUCACAAUUUUGACACUUAUUCUUAAUAAGAACCAGGGGGGCCAGGUGGUUUCGUCAAAAAUCAAGACAACGCGAAGCUAAAAAUCAUGAUUUUUCAGGACACUUUUUGAUUCAUAAAAAUAAUAAGCAGUUCUGCUUAGAUAACAUAAAUAAAGGCGCAAUACAGGUGCUGUAAACAGCUUGAUUUAUGCAACUGCAGUACGCAGUUUCUUCUCUGGCCUGCAGUUCAUAUCGACAAACACCAUCGUCAUAUCAACUGAACAGAUUUAUUCGAAAUCAGGACAAAUCUAGAUAAAUCAGGACACCUGGCACCUCUGAUGUCAACUGUUAUGACUGCCCUGUCAGGAACGUUUGCUCAAUCGGGCCGAUUGCAAAACAGACAUGGCGGCACUCGAAUUCUAGCGGUUAGAAUUCGGUCAGUUUUCGGCUCGAUUUCCAUCCGCCUGCUCGAUUGCUCGAAAACAGACGAUAUUUUUCGCAGUGCUGCGAUGAACAAAACGAAACACGAGCAGUUUUCAAUCGCAGCAAUCCGGGUGCGUGAUUGUUGUGAAUUGUGUUGUGGAAUUUGGUCGCAGUUCUGUUUCUGCCUUUUCCGUUGCUGUUCAAAAAUGCUUUGAGCGGAAGAAGCCAUGUCCGCCAAUCAUUUAAUCAUAAGCAAGAAAACAUCAAAAUGUCCCGGGUGUACGGGCUUUGGUGGAAUGUCAUCCCGGACAACGGAUCCGGAUCCCGUACCCACUCAGAGGUGGCAUCACAUGGAUUAGUUUUAAUUAGUUUUUGGUGUGAAACUUCAAAGUGGAAAGCAAGAAAACAUCGACCCAUGCAAACAAAGCUUCCAAAGAAAUGUCCACACGGUACGGAUUCUGGUGGAAUGUCAUCCUGGACAUCGUAUCCGGAUCCGGAUCCCGGAUACGCUUCACUUAAUUUUAAUCGGUUUUCGGUGUGAUAGUUCAAAGUGGAAAGCAGGUGGCCACGAAGAAAAACAAGUUCAACCAAUUAUUGCAUACUUUUUUCACUAAAUCGGUUGUUCUUGGAAAACAUGUAUCAAACUAUGGUUUAAAAGUACCAUCGGAAGGGAUCCCGCAAAUUUCUUUGCAGGUUUGUAUCCUUAUUUCUUUAUAACGAAAUAAUAACAUAAAUAAAAAAACAUAAAUAAAAUAACAUUUCAUUUCAGGAAUCCAAGAAGUCGGCCCGAGACUUAAAAACUUGAAAUCGAAUUGACUGCUCCAUUCAAGCGUUCUUCGGUUGAGAAAACUCCUUGAGUUCAAUUUAUAACAGCUGCGGGAUUGCACUCGCUACAGUGUUUUAAUCACAAUUGUGAUCUUCGUCUGGGACAUCAUGUGAACGAACAGUUUUGAAGAUUGAAUCAAAUGGAAAUCCCGGAAUCUAGAAUCGCUACCUGUUGGUAAUGAAAUGGCAAUUUCAUGAGACAAGCAUGGCCCAGUGGCAUACAACAUAGAAUUUUCGUUCGAGGUGGUCGCCCUGGUCGUUGACUUUGGGCAUCAUCUGCACAUGCUGCUGUGGGCAAAUGUGUUCCUUUCGUUGGCCAGCCUGGUGAUCAUCGUGCAGUUCCGCUGUCUGAACAACGAGAUACAAAGGGAGUUCAAGAAGCACCGUAACUACCCGUGGGUGCUAGACUACAUGGAAAAUAGCUGUCCCCUAGCGACGGCCGAAGAUCUGAAUUCUGACAACGGUGUCAUAUGCUGGGAGAAGAUGGAAACCGCCCGGAAGCUGCCCUGUUCGCAUCUGUUUCAUAACUCAUGCCUUCAAUCUUGGUUGGAACGGGACACCAGUUGGCUUACGUGUCAGCUCGGGUUAAGCGUUAACAAUGCCAAUGUGGCCAAUAUUUUGCAGAAUGAAAUCCGCAUCGAUGACCCGGAACCGGUUGACGGUUUGGAUCGGGACGAACGGUAAUCCGGUUUCUUGGAAAACGGCGGCUGAAAAUCAUACCUAGCAAGUCAGGAUCAUGGCCCGGCACGUCCAGGAGAUGUUCCCCCGAUUUCCAAUGUCUACGGUCAUUGCCGAUCUGAGCAUAUCGCGAUCGAUCGAAGUCACAAUUGAUCCUGGAAGGGCGCAUUCCAGCCAGCAUUCUCGUCAGCAGCAUUCAACAUCAUCAUCGGUGGCUUCCACGCCCAGCUCCGACAGUUCCUCCGCGCCGCUGCCAAAAGCUUUUCUCAAUAACAAAGCCAAUCGAUUCCAAUGAUAACGCAUUUUGGGAACAGUUCUGGUGCGAGCAUAGCUCUCCAGUUCAAGAUGUGUUUGCGCUGAUUCCAUCGAAUGAGAUACGGAAAGUUCAGGAUGUUAUGCCAGCGAAUUUGGCAACUUAAUGCUACAAAGCAACAGAACGAUUGGUCCGAGCGGUGGACAACAGUUGUCGUACCCAGGGGAAACAGCAAACGGUGCUAAACUCUAUCCGUUUGCUUAAUCGAACAUUGCCAUGUAUUUUUGAGGAUGUGCAGUGGAAAGAUUUCUUCUGGUCUUCACUUCUGGCUAAUGAUAAAGAAAACGGAGACACUCCAUUGGCGUAUGUUGAAUGCCAUAGGCGACUUAUUGUUCUGUCCCGAAUUUAUAUUUGUGGGAUUGUGAAAAUCGGGUCGGAAAAAGUCGAAGAACUCAAUUUUAUCGAUAGUUGCGAAUACAUAUAGGAAGCAGGCGUAGGAUUUGCUCAGUCGCCUCCCAGGAAUGGAAACAUGGAUGCUCGUCGUACCGAACUUGAUUGAUGCUAACUUGUUUUAGCGAAAUAAUGUAUCGAGCGCGAAUAUGCGUGACGAGCGCAACAAAUGGAUUGUACAUUUUACAAGUGCUGGCAACCGACAUGCAUUUCCUUUGUCCACUUCACUCCUCAACACGGUUUGCGCUUAAGAUACAGUUGGCAUGGGAGUGCCCUACAAUCAUCUGCUGUUUACCGACACGUUGGAACCGCUGGUGGAAGUUUGCUUGCAGAACCUUAUUGUGAUACUUGAUUAAGACAUCUCGAGCAACACGCCUACCCAAACCACGUCCUAUUCACAUGACAAGGUAUGUAACGAGGUUGCUGAUUUGAUUUUUCCUUUGAUUUAAAAUUUUUAUAAGGUACACCGGGGUAAGUGGGGACGAUGGCUAUUAAAACAAUACUGUAAACUCUUUUUUCAAACUUUUGAUGCAGAAUGUUCAAUUUUCUUGUAAUUUAUCCAAUAACUGUGAAAAAGAUACGAUUACGACAAUAACGAAUCCGCACAGCGACUUUUGGGAAUUUUCUAUUUUCAUCUACGAUGUCGAGUUGAUUUGCAUCUUUUUCAAUUGCAAAUUUCUCGUAAACACAAAUACAACUGGCAAUUUUCAUAGAACUUAAAAUAACUUUUAGUAAAUUCCAACCUUUUUCAUUCUAGCAAGAAAGUAUCCGGCUGAUCCCAUCCGGAACUCACGGUUUCCACUUAAAGGUUUGGCAACCGUCUUCGGAAUGGGUUCAAUCCUGGCGCUCCAAGCUGCCACUGCAGACCAUAAUGCGGUUGUUUCAGGUUCCUGCAGCAUGGAACAUUAGUUGGUUUGCUGUCGGUACCGCAUCCGAUUUUGAUAAGAAAGUACCAAGCCAACCGUGGCCCGACCCCGAUAGCAAAAUUUGGAACACAGCGGAAGAUUUAAUCCAUCAGGUCCGUAACUUUGGCUCCAACACAAAUUGGAAGAAACAAAAAGAUCGAGCUCUGUACAGCAACAGCGAAGAUUAGCUGUCGAAAAUGUCGUCUGCGUAUUUCAGAUAUCAGUAUUUGAUCUGUUUGUGAAUCGUAUGCGUUUUCGUGUUUUCUGAGUAGCCGUUAUAGAGCAAUCUGGUUUCAACUGACCAGCAGUAUUUUAAACAACUUUUCGUUAUUCUGAGAUGACCCCACUAGCUGCCCUCCGACUUUGUUUGAAUCGCAACUUGUCCGUGUUCAUUUUAGUAUAAUGGAGCUUUAUUUAGUUUUCAAUAUUGGUAAAAAAUAAUUUUGAAUGCUGGGCUGGAGGAGGUCUAUUUUUUCAUGAUCCAUGUUGAUAAGAUGAAUGGGAGUUGAAACACUUGCCCUCUCUUCUGCAUAACAAUCGCAACAUCCGAUUGACAGGGAAAGUAUCACAAUUUGCCAUUAUAAUAGCUGAUACUUUCAAUAGGGCAUAAUUCUUGUGGCUGGGUGGUUAGUUAGUUGGUUUAGUUUAAUAGAAUUAAAAAAGAGAAAAAGUGUAAGAAGUAUUGCGAUGUUAGGUAAAGGUUAUGGUAUUCGCCUCCCCAAUGCUCUAGUAAGUUUGUAUUUGCGGUUUAUGAAUUUCGUUGGCUUAUUCUUUGAUCAAGCAUUUUACAAGAACUAGAGGCUCAUUAGAUGGGAACGGUCUUAUUGAAGAAUAUGAUAUUUUUUUGGUAAGACGCUUUUUGCUUUUUUUUUAAUUUAAUCAUUCACUUUUGGCAGAUCUUCACAUUUUUCGGUUAGGGAUGGAAAUAGAUAGUAAAAUGUAUGAUAUUGAAGAACAAUAAUGAGUAGGUAGUCCAGAUAACUGAUUUCGGGCAUUUAAAAAUAGGCACACGGUAUAUUUUAAUAGAACCCCUAAGUAGACUUAGUAUAGUUUGUCAGAUGAGGUUUAAGAAGAACAGCAUUGUGCAUUUCCUGAUCUGUUCCUGUUCUGUAUACGAUAUUUAAGCUAGAUUUAUUAUUAGUUUGGGCUAGGCUUCUUAUAUUAUAUUGAUAGAUAAUAUGAACUAAUAUCCUAUUUUUCUAUUCCUUUUUCUCUUUUUUGUAUUCCUUUUAAUGUUACCUUCGGAGGAUGACGAAAGAGCUUCGAGUGGAAAACUCGAACAACCUUCAAGCCAUCUCCUCACAACAUCAGACCCCGAAGAUGGUUUCGCAUGGUGUGGAAGUCAUCCCAAGGAUUUGAUCAACACCUGAAAUUAGACAAAUUGCUCAAAAAGAAGAAGCUUGCGCCAGACAUCGCAAUGUCUUAAGCAGGAGAGGCAGCAAAAGAAUCAAUUAGAAGAAAAAAACAUGAAAAAUAAAACAAAUGAAAUAAAAGUCUAUAGCUUUUUGUAAACAAACCGAAAAACCUGAAUGAU